rnacentral:tRNA from 1 species
UCCCCGGUAGCUCAGUCGGUAGAGCAGACGGCUGUUAACCGUCAGGUCGGUGGUUCGAGCCCACUCCCGGGGAGCCA